rnacentral:rRNA from 1 species
UACGUAGGGGGCAAGCGUUGUCCGGAAUCAUUGGGCGUAAAGCGCGUGUAGGCGGCUCGGUAAGUCCGCUCUGAAAGCCCGGGGCUCAACCCCGGGAGGCGGGUGGAUACUGCUGAGCUCGAGUCCGGAAGAGGAGUGUGGAAUUCCUGGUGUAGCGGUGAAAUGCGCAGAUAUCAGGAGGAACACCAAUGGCGAAGGCAGCGACUCUGGGACGGUACUGACGCUGAGACGCGAAAGCGUGGGGAGCAAACAGG